GACGAACGCUGGCGGCGUGCUUAACACAUGCAAGUCGAACGGAAAGGCCCUGCUUUUGUGGGGUGCUCGAGUGGCGAACGGGUGAGUAACACGUGAGUAACCUGCCCUUGACUUUGGGAUAACUUCAGGAAACUGGGGCUAAUACCGGAUAGGAGCUCCUGCUGCAUGGUGGGGGUUGGAAAGUUUCGGCGGUUGGGGAUGGACUCGCGGCUUAUCAGCUUGUUGGUGGGGUAGUGGCUUACCAAGGCUUUGACGGGUAGCCGGCCUGAGAGGGUGACCGGCCACAUUGGUACUGAAAUACGGCCCAAACUGCUACGGGAGGCAGCAGUGGGGAAUAUUGCACAAUGGGCGGAAGCCUGAUGCAGCAACGCCGCGUGCGGGAUGACGGCCUUCGGGUUGUAAACCGCUUUCGCCUGUGACGAAGCGUGAGUGACGGUAAUGGGUAAAGAAGCACCGGCUAACUACGUG
rnacentral:rRNA from 1 species